GGCCCAACCUCCGCAGCUGGGAAAAACCAACCCUGGGGGCGGGGGAGAGCCAGGCCUGCUAGAGGGACUUCUCCCGCCGCGCCGCCAACCUUUGCAGCCCUCGGUUGGGGGAUUUAAGAAAGGAGACUGGGGGGAUCUGGGCCGCGCGCCUCCUUCCGGUGGAAAUUAACGAGAGAUGUGCCAGGAAAGGCUGGGCCUGACUGGGGCACCUUAUUUGAAGACAGUUCUUCUCCAAAUGGCUACUACCUUCCUCCUAAGAUAAACAGAACAGCCUAGGCAUGUUCUUCUUUUAAUAACUAUAGAAGCACUUACCUAAAACAGCUGUGUGAUCCUCCUGAAAAUCAGAAGUCACAAUUUGAGUGCAGGAAAAAGGGGGCACUCUUUGGAUGAUGAAGCCCAGAUCAUAAAAACAACAAUGAAAUGGCUGACAGUGUCUACGUAAUGAAGAUGCAUCCUGACAGCACCAUAUUUACACAGUCCUUGAAGUUCAUGACCUCAAAUGAGUAAAAGUAAUCCUCUCUCCUUGAUCAUCUAUAUCAAUCCUUGGAAAACUUUCUGGCUUCCCUUGAAUCACCUGCCCAUCCUUGGACCAAUCACUGUGUUUGAGAAGGAGUACAAUACUCUUGCUGGCCAGCCUGAGUAACAGGUUCACUCCUAGGACAGGUGAGGCCAAAUGUUCCACAGCUCUGUUCCAAAAAAAAAAAAAACAAAAAAAAAACAGUUCCCCAGACAGGAGUCUGGGCAAAGAAAGGUAAGAAAAUAAAUAUGGAUACAAAAAUUACUAACUUACUAAAUAAACAGGGCAGUCACUAGUUGUGGGUGGCUAAAUGAAGGAUGUGAGCAACUCAAGCAUAUGAGAAAACACUGUUUGCUACCUCAUUGAGCAAGAGACACAGUGUAUUAAAAAUAGCUCCCUUGAACAGAGUUCAC